GCAAGUCGAGCGGAAACGAAGAUAGCUUGCUAUCAGGCCUCGAGCGUCGGACGGGUGAGUAACGCGUAGGAACCUACCCAAUAGUUUGGGAUAGCCCAGAGAAAUUUGGAUUAAUACCGGAUACGCCCUACUGGGGAAAGCAGGGGCUCUUCGUACCUUGCGCUAUUAGAUGGGCCUGCGUGAGAUUAGCUAGUUGGUGAGGUAAUGGCUCACCAAGGCGACGAUCUCUAGCUGGUCUGAGAGGAUGACC
rnacentral:rRNA from 1 species